UGGUGGUGUGAAUUGUCUGGUUAAUUCCGUUAACGAACGAGACCCGAGCCUGCUAAAUAGUCUGGCGAAUCUCUUGAUUCGUGCAGAAUACUUCUUAGAGGGACUAUCGGUGGUGUACCCGGUGGAAGCUUCGGGCCAUAACA
rnacentral:rRNA from 1 species